rnacentral:tRNA from 3 species
GCGGAUAUGGUCAAAUGGU